rnacentral:rRNA from 1 species
CCUACGGGUGGCAGCAGUGGGGGAUAUUGGACAAUGGGGGAAACCCUGAUCCAGCGACGCCGCGUGAGUGAAGAAGUAUUUCGAUAUGGAAAGCUCUAUCAUCAGGGAAGAAAGAAAUGACGGUACCUGAGUAAGAAGCCCCGGCUAACUACGUGCCAGCAGCCGCGGUAAGACGUAGGGGGCAAGCGUUAUCCGGAAUUACUGGGUGUAAAGGGAGCGUAGACGGUAAUGCAAGUCUGGAGUGAAAGGCGGGGGCGCAACCCCCGGACUGGUCUGGAAACUGUGUAACUGGAGUGCAGGGGAGGUAGGCGGAAUUCCUAGUGUAGCGGUGAAAUGCGUAGAUAUUAGGAGGAACACCAGUGGCGAAGGCGGCCUGCUAGACUGUCACUGACGUUGAGGCUCGAAAGCGUGGGGAGCAAACAGGAUUAGAUACCCUAGUAGUC